rnacentral:rRNA from 1 species
GACAGAGGUGCCAAGCGUUAGGCGGAAUCACUGGGCUUAAAGCGUGUGUAGGCGGGUGCCUAAGUACCUUGUGAAAUCCCCCGGCUCAACCGGGGAACGGCUGGGUAUACUGGGUGCCUUGGGUCAUCUAGGGGCUGCCGGAACAAAUGGUGGAGCGGUGAAAUGCGUAGAUAUCAUUUGGAACGCCAACGACGAAAGCAGGCAGCUGGGGAUGCACCGACGCUGAGACACGAAAGCCAGGGGAGCGAACGGG